GGUCAAGCGAAUAAGCGCACACGGUGGAUGCCUUGGCGGUCAGAGGCGAUGAAGGACGUGGCAGCCUGCGAAAAGUAUCGGGGAGCUGGCAACAAGCUUUGAUCCGGUAAUGUCCGAAUGGGGAAACCCACCCGCUUGCGGGUAUCCUGCAGUGAAUACAUAGCUGCUGGAAGCGAACCUGGUGAACUGAAAUAUCUAAGUAACCAGAGGAAAAGAAAUCAACCGAGAUUCCGUAAGUAGCGACGAGCGAACGCGGACUAGCCCUUAAGCUGAUUUGGUUCUAGGAAAACGCUCUGGAAAGAGCGGCCAUAGAAGGUGAUAGCCCUGUAUCUGAAAGGGCCAUUUCAGUGAAGACGAGUAGGGCGGGGCACGUGAAACCCUGUCUGAACAUGGGGGGACCAUCCUCCAAGGCUAAAUACUACUGACCGACCGAUAGUGAACCAGUACCGUGAGGGAAAGGCGAAAAGAACCCCGGAGGGGAGUGAAAUAGAACCUGAAACCGUGUGCGUACAAGCAGUAGGAGCUCCGCAAGGAGUGACUGCGUACCUUUUGUAUAAUGGGUCAGCGACUUACUGUUCGUGGCAAGCUUAACCGUAUAGGGGAGGCGAAGGGAAACCGAGUCUGAUAAGGGCGCAUAGUCGCGGGCAGUAGACCCGAAACCGGGUGAUCUAGUCAUGCCCAGGGUGAAGGUGCGGUAACACGCACUGGAGGCCCGAACCCACUCCCGUUGCAAAGGUAGGGGAUGAGGUGUGAUUAGGAGUGAAAAGCUAAUCGAACCCGGAGAUAGCUGGUUCUCCUCGAAAGCUAUUUAGGUAGCGCCUCAUAUGUAUCCUCUCGGGGGUAGAGCACUGUUAUGGCUAGGGGGUCAUCGCGACUUACCAAACCAUUGCAAACUCCGAAUACCGAGACGGACUGUAUGGGAGACACACGGCGGGUGCUAACGUCCGUCGUGAAAAGGGAAACAACCCAGACCCACAGCUAAGGUCCCAAAUUUUGUGCUAAGUGGAAAACCAUGUGGAAAGGCACAGACAGCCAGGAGGUUGGCUUAGAAGCAGCCACCCUUUAAAGAAAGCGUAAUAGCUCACUGGUCGAGUCGGUCUGCGGGGAAGAUUUAACGGGGCUAAGCACAGAACCGAAGCUUGGGGUGCAUAACUUUGUUAUGCGCGGUAGAGGAGCGUUCCGUAAGCCGUUGAAGGUGGAUUGAGAAGUCUGCUGGAGGUAUCGGAAGUGCGAAUGCUGACAUGAGUAACGAUAAUGCGGGUGAAAAACCCGCACGCCGAAAGCCCAAGGUUUCCUUGCGCAACGUUAAUCGGCGCAGGGUGAGUCGGCCCCUAAGGCGAGGACGAAAGUCGUAGUCGAUGGGAAGCAGGUUAAUAUUCCUGCACCUCGCGUAAGUGCGAUGGAGGGACGGAGAAGGUUAGGUGUACCAGGCGUUGGUUGUCCUGGGGAAAGGCGGUAGGUUUGGAUCUUUGGCAAAUCCGGGAUCCUCUAAGACCGAGCACCGAGACGAGCCUUUAUGGCAAAGUCACUGAUACCACGCUUCCAGGAAAAGCUCCUAAGCUUCAGCUUACGCAGACCGUACCGUAAACCGACACAGGUGGGUAGGAUGAGAAUUCUCAGGCGCUUGAGAGAACUCGGGUGAAGGAACUAGGCAACAUGGCACCGUAACUUCGGGAGAAGGUGCACCCUUUUUGGUGGCUCGUGCGAGCUAUAGCUGAAGAGGGUCGCAGUAACCAGGCCGCUGCGACUGUUUAUCAAAAACACAGCACUCUGCAAACACGAAAGUGGACGUAUAGGGUGUGACGCCUGCCCGGUGCUGGAAGGUUAAUUGAUGGGGUCAGCCGCAAGGCGAAGCUCUUGAUCGAAGCCCCAGUAAACGGCGGCCGUAACUAUAACGGUCCUAAGGUAGCGAAAUUCCUUGUCGGGUAAGUUCCGACCUGCGAAUGGCGUAACGACAGCGGCGCUGUCUCCACCCGAGACUCAGUGAAAUUGAAAUCGCUGUGAAGAUGCAGCGUUCCCGUGGCAAGACGGAAAGACCCCGUGAACCUUUACUAUAGCUUUACACUGAACGUUGAGUUCGUCUGUGUAGGAUAGGUGGGAGGCUAUGAAACCAUGGCGCUAGCUGUGGCGGAGCCAUCCUUGAAAUACCACCCUGUCGUGCUUGACGUUCUAACCUGGGCCCAUUAUCUGGGUCGGGGACCGUGUAUGGUGGGUAGUUUGACUGGGGCGGUCUCCUCCUAAAGAGUAACGGAGGAGCUCGAAGGUACGCUCAGCGCGGUCGGACAUCGCGCACUGUGUGCAAAGGCAUAAGCGUGCUUGACUGCAAGAUCGACGGAUCAAGCAGGUAGGAAACUAGGACUUAGUGAUCCGGUGGUUCUGUAUGGAAGGGCCAUCGCUCAACGGAUAAAAGGUACUCCGGGGAUAACAGGCUGAUACCGCCCAAGAGUUCAUAUCGACGGCGGUGUUUGGCACCUCGAUGUCGGCUCAUCACAUCCUGGGGCUGUAGUCGGUCCCAAGGGUAUGGCUGUUCGCCAUUUAAAGUGGUACGCGAGCUGGGUUCAGAACGUCGUGAGACAGUUCGGUCCCUAUCUGCCAUGGGCGUUGGAGAUUUGAGAGGGGCUGCUCCUAGUACGAGAGGACCGGAGUGGACGAACCUCUGGUGUUCCGGUUGUCACGCCAGUGGCAUUGCCGGGUAGCUAUGUUCGGAAGCGAUAACCGCUGAAAGCAUCUAAGCGGGAAGCGCGCCUCAAGAUGAGAUCUCCCGGGGCACAAGCCCCCUGAAGGAACCAUGUAGACUACGUGGUUGAUAGGUCAGGUGUGUAAGUACAGCAAUGUAUUGAGCUAACUGAUACUAAUGAUCCGUGCGGCUUGACCAU
rnacentral:rRNA from 1 species